AUUGAACGCUGGCGGCAGGCUUAACACAUGCAAGUCGAGCGGAGCGAGGGUGCUUGCACCUUAGCUUAGCGGCGGACGGGUGAGUAAUGCUUAGGAAUCUGCCUAUUAGUGGGGGACAACAUUCCGAAAGGAAUGCUAAUACCGCAUACGCCCUACGGGGGAAAGCAGGGGAUCUUCGGACCUUGCGCUAAUAGAUGAGCCUAAGUCGGAUUAGCUAGUUGGUGGGGUAAAGGCCUACCAAGGCGACGAUCUGUAGCGGGUCUGAGAGGAUGAUCCGCCACACUGGGACUGAGACACGGCCCAGACUCUUACGGGAGGCAGCAGUGGGGAAUAUUGGACAAUGGGGGGAACCCUGAUCCAGCCAUGCCGCGUGUGUGAAGAAGGCCUUAUGGUUGUAAAGCACUUUAAGCGAGGAGGAGGCUCUUUUGGUUAAUACCCAAGAUGAGUGGACGUUACUCGCAGAAUAAGCACCGGCUAACUCUGUGCCAGCCGCCGCCGUAAUAC
rnacentral:rRNA from 1 species